GUCGGACGCGCCCGCAGCGGGCGAAGAGAGCGAAGUGGACAAGGCCGCCAUGUUAGGGGUGCUGGAAAGAUUCCGCGGAGCCCGCUGAGGUUUUAGGGAACUCGGGAGCCGAGUGGUGGUGCAGAGGGGACAGUGAGGAGGAGGAUAAGUCGGUUGGUGUCGGACCCUCAUUGGUCUUUCAUGCAGAAAUGGUUUGCAAAAGGUUCGAAAGACAUCGAUGUUGAAAGAAUCUGUCUUCACUAUGAAAAGAUGAGAAAUUUUCUUUCUUCCUGAGGGUGUCGGAAGGUCUUAAAAGGCUGAUAUAUUAGUGCUGUUUUUCUCCUUUCCUUUUGCAUAUUAUCCUGAAAACAUAACAUCACUUUGGGUCAGUAGGGGUAUGCACUUCACUUGUUAGGAGUUAAAAUUAUAGCUGAUAAGUGGAUUACUGUAUCAAGGAAAGACUAGGCAGAGUGAUUAUAAAUGACAAAAACAUGGUCAAAACAUUUCUCAGAUGUAUGCAGAUGAUAAUUACAGAAAUAGUUUUAUAAAGAAUGAUCUUACAUAUUGUCAUGUUUCUAGGAACAAGUCAGAUGAAUGGCUUUCAUUUUUAAACAGAGGUAGUAUGUGUUGGUCUCAGUUAUGCAUGGAGCUUAUGGAAUUAUUUGUUACUCAGAAAUACCUUCUUUACAAGUAAUGUUGGUAAGUAUAGGAAAAGGAACAAAAUGUGUACUGUUUUCUUUGUGAUCUGUGUUUCUUCGUAUAACUAUAGACAUGUUUUAACCUUAAGAGAGACAAAAUAGACUGAACAGAUUUACAUUUAGGCUUUCUUUCAAACUCAUACAAAUUAUUUUUAGGGGUUGGUGAUUCAUGGGUGUUGUUGUGUCUCAUAUGAACUUAUCUUGUUCAUUUUGUAAGAGACUCCUUUAUAUAAGCAAUAACCUCCUCAAUUUGAGUUACUAUAAAAAAAAAAUUUGUUGGGGGCGGGGGAACCCAGCAGAUUUCUCAAAAACAUUGUAUGAGAGAAAUGAGACCUGUAUAAUAUAGUGAUUUCUGUAAUUUGCCAUGUGUUUGGGUAGUUAGAAAUUUUUUUCAGACUUUUAUCUAAUGGGCAUCAAGCCAUAAAGAAAUGAAAUCUAGUUACUGUCUCAAAAAACAACUCCCUGACCCUUAACUUUUAGGAAAAAAAUUACGUACUCUAUGUGGAUAUUUUGUUUAAAAAAUUAGUAUUACAGGAGUCGAUGAUGCCAGCUUCUGGAAGAAUAACCUCAGUGUUCCAGAAGGAAAACUGUGUAGGGGAUGUCCUGGUGAUCCUGUAGUUAAGACUCCACCUGCCAGGCAGCAGGUGCAGGUUGACCAGGCAGCUCAGUGGUGGAGUCCACCUGCCAAUACAGGAGAUGUGGGUUUGAUCCCUGUGUCUGCAAGAUCCCUGGAGAAGGAAAUGGCAGCCCAUUCCAGUAUUGUUGCCUGGAAAAUCCCACGGACAGCGGAGCCUGGGGGGCUGUAAUCCAUGGGGUCUUAAAGAGUCAGACACAACUGAGCAGCAGCGGCAGGGAACUAAGACCCCACACACUGUGGGGUGUGGCCGAAGUGAAGAAAACUGCGAAGUGCAGUUAGGAAUGCCUUACGUAGGUAAACCUCCUUUCUUUUUAUCUCAAAACAGAAUUGGGACAUUGAUUUGUAUUAUACAUAGCUCAUUAAAGAGUAUUGAGUUGUUAGGCCAAGGGUUUUCUCAAUAGGGUCAAGUGUCUGGAUCACCUGUGGAACUCUAGAUAUGUGAAGCUAUUUCCUACCCAUUCACCCAGCUGAAUAAUUUUUGUUCAGGGUUGUCACCAGCUGUUGUAUAUCUUUAAAACACUGUAGGUGAGUUUACAGCGGUAGGGUAGAGCAGCCUUCUACAUCCCAGAUUUGUAGCUUUUUGUGGUGUGUGACAUGAGUAAUAAAGUUUUGGCCAAGAUUUUAGGUUUAUUAAUAUAUUCAUAAAUGAAUUUUCAAGACGUGUAAAUGACCUAAGGAUUAAUUUAUGUAGAGGAGGGGCAUUAAUUUUACCUUAAGAAUACCAUAAUAUCCUGACUUGAAUAUUUCUUUGAGUGAAAUUUUGCUUGUGUACUUGUAUAGUUUGAAAAGCCCUCAAUUGGUUAUGAAAAUUAGGCCCUGUCUUCAUUGAGAAUCAGUGUAGUUAAUUCUCUAAAAGGUGAUGUCCCAAAUUAUAAAAAAUGUUAGACUUGUUUCAUGCCUGCAGAGAUCUAAAAUAAUGCUUUUAUAUUUCAAGCUAUGAAAUUUGAGAGAGCAAGUAUCAGUUAUAUUGUCUGCCUUUCUUUAUCGCUUCCAAAAUAAAAUCAAUUUUCUUAACCGUUCUCAGAAAUGAAAUGCCAGCAAUCCAAAGGUGAUGUAAACCCCAACAGUUACAGUAAGAGUUAUUUUAAGUUGGUCACAGAAUUAAGACAUGAAAACUUAAGGGGGAAAAUGAAAAGCAUUUUACCAAAAUUAUCAUAUUGGAUAGCCUUAUAUUGAGUUAAAUGUUUUCUACACCAUUUAUUUUUAAAGUGGACACAGAUGAGCAUGUUAUACAGGGUUCAGCAUUUGGAGUUUCUCAGGAAACUCAGAUUUUUAACUUAUUCUGGAAACAAAUAUUUCAUAUUUACACAUUUUACUUUAACAGCAUUCAGAAAACUAAAGCAUAUGUUUUCUAGUCUUGUUUAGUUGACCCACUGUUGUUUUUGUAACAGAUU
ensembl:lncRNA